AUCCGUAGUGAACCUGCGGAGGACUUA
rnacentral:rRNA from 1 species